CUACUGGGUACGCAAAUCCGUUAAUGAUUAUAGACCUUGAAGCCUCGUAUAGUGAUAGAAUUUCAUGUUUGUUGAUCUUCUUUUUCUUAACCUUUCAGCUCCUCGCAAAUCAGUGGAAUAGAAGUUGGGGAGAUGACGGCUACUUUAAGAUGAGAAGAGGGACAAAUGAAUGUGGCAUUGAAAAAGAUGUUGUUGCUGGCAUGCCUUCCCGAAAAACCUCGUCAGGGAGGUUGCUGACGGCGAUGCUUCGUUCUCAAUGUAAAUAUACAACCAAACUGGAUUCCGUCGUGUAUUAAACGCCCUGCCCUGAAUGUUGUGCCAUUAUUGUAAGAAUUUGAACGAUAUUUACCAAAAUUUAAAUUAUGAUAUUGAAAGGCCCUUGAGGGUGCUGACUGCUA